rnacentral:SRP_RNA from 2 species
GCUGGGCGUGGUGGCGCAUGCCUAUAAUCCCAGCUACUUGGGAGGCUGAGGCUGCAGUGAGUCGAGAUUGCACCACUGCAUUCCAGCCUGGGUGACAGAGCAAGAGACUUCUUCAAAAAAAUAAAAAAGAAGAAGAAUGUAGUAAUAUUCUGUCUUUUUUUUUUUUUUUUUGAGACAGAGUCUCCCUCUGUUGCCCAAGCUGGAGUGCAGUGGCACGAUCUUGGCUCACUGCAGCCCC